rnacentral:rRNA from 1 species
AACGAACGCUGGCGGCGUGCUUAACACAUGCAAGUCGAACGCACCGCAAGGUGAGUGGCGCACGGGUGAGUAACGCGUGGGAAUCUACCUUUUGGUUCGGAAUAACACAGGGAAACUGGAGCUAAUACCGGAUAAGCCCUUCGGGGGAAAGAUUUAUCGCCAAAGGAUCGGCCCGCGUCUGAUUAGCUAGUUGGUGAGGUAAUGGCUCACCAAGGCGACGAUCAGUAGCUGGUCUGAGAGGAUGAUCAGCCACACUGGGACUGAGACACGGCCCAGACUCCUACGGGAGGUAGCAGUGGGGAAUAUUGGACAAUGGGCGCAAGCCUGAUCCAGCCAUGCCGCGUGAGUGAUGAAGGCCUUAGGGUUGUAAAGCUCUUUUGUCCGGGAAGAUAAUGACUGUACCGGAAGAAUAAGCCCCGGCUAACUACGUGCCAGCCGCCGCCGUAAAAC